rnacentral:rRNA from 1 species
UACGUAGGUGGCAAGCGUUGUCCGGAUUUACUGGGCGUAAAGAGCGCGCAGGCGGUCGUCCAAGUCGCGUGUGAAAGCCCCCGGCUCAACUGGGGAGGGUCACGCGAUACUGGUCGACUCGAAGGCAGGAGAGGGUAGUGGAAUUCCCGGUGUAGUGGUGAAAUGCGCAGAUAUCAGGAGGAACACCCAUAGCGAAGGCAGCUUGCUGGGACGUUACUGACGCUAAGGCGCGAAAGCGUGGGGAGCGAACAGG